GAGCGGGACCCGGAAGUGGGGGGCUGCGGCGGGAGGUGAGGGCCGCCUGCCUGGCCGGACCCCAGGGGUGUCGGACGGUGGGCAGGGCCUCCUGGGAUCCCUGAGGCGCCGGCAGGAGGAGACGCCCUGGGGUCGGUGCCGCCACCUUCCCGUCCGGGCGGUUACAGCUUUCCCGCGUUCGCUGUCAGAGGCAGGGACCGGCGACCUCGGGGGCCUGGUCCCUGAGCCACAGCGGGGAGUCGUCCGAGCAUCUCGGGAUGAGGAAGAUCAAGUUGAAUCAAAAAAGAGGAAAGAAAGCCCAUCGCGUGUGACAGACAAGAAAGUGCUACCGUUAAAAGGCAAACAGUUCUAGAGUGUGCAAACAUUUGCAGUCCCUCUGCUGAUGAUCCUGGGUUUGGUUUGGCUGGGCUUGAGCAAAUGAGAAGGAACCAGGACGGAGCCUGUGACUGACUACAGCAGGAGAGCAGGCGUGGCAUGGAUCCCGUGCAAGCCGGCAGUGGAGACCCAGCGCCUGAGAGUGACGUGGGGAACUAGCAGGAGCUAGAAGUGACUUAGGCCGAGCUUUUGUAAAGCGGAGGUGUGAGUAUAAUAUCAGGAUGAUUUGACUGCAAGCAACAGAGAAUCAAACAGAAAUGGCCUAGGGAGUCCCUUCGUGGCUCCCCAGUUAACAAUCUGACUGGAUCAUGAGGAUGCAGGUUCAAUCCCCGGCCUCUAUCAGUGGGUGAAGGAUCUAGUGCUACCAUGAGCUGUGUUGUGGUGUAGGCUGGCGGCCGCAGCUCCAGUUGGACCCCUAGCCCGGGAACUUCCAUAUGCUGUGGGUGCAGCCCUAAAAAGCAAAAACAAACAAAAAAAAUGAAACAAAACAAAACAAAAAAUCCACAAAAAAAUCAGAAAUGGCCUAAACAAAGAAGAAAACGUGUUAUCCCAUACUACAAGAAGUUUGGGGGUUGAGUGGUUAAACGCAUGAUUAGUUUAGAAACUUGACAGCACCACCCAGGACCCAUUUUCCCUAAGGCGGCUGCUGCCCCCCACCCUGUAGGCUUAGCCACCGCAGCAAAGACACCCCCCUUCCCCAACCAGAGCCCUGCGUCAGGACUGGAAAGGGCCUCCUUCCUUCCAUCCCCUUCCAGAACCUCCGCAGAAGACUCCCCUUGACGUCUCAUUCCAUCCCAUACUGGUCACUUGGCAGGGGGAACGGAUUUACCAUGGUGGCCAGAGACAAAUUAAGUCGCCUCUGGAUCAUGAAGAGCCCCCAUCUCUGGAGAACACUUGACCACUCAGUACCCAGCAACUCGGGUACCCCUGGCAAGAAAGAGACAGAUGAUACCCACUGGGUCCUGUCCACAGCGCCUGCCCCCAGCAACCUGUCUACCUGGAAAACUGAGGGGGUGCCACGCGGGUCUGUGUCUUCUCUGUAGUUUGCCCGAGUCUUUCCCAUUAGGUAAGUGUCGCCCUUUUCCCUCUUUGCGGCUUUCCUCCUUGGCACGUCACCCAGGUUUUGUUCAGCCACAAGGGGCGAUAGGCUGAAAGAGGAAUCUCCAGGCCUAGGUGAUGGGCCAGCCGUGGUGAUCCUCACCCGUUUGCCUGGGCACCGUUUGGGAAACGUCCCCCUGCUCACCACGGAGAUGAAAGACCAGGUCCCUGGAGGGGCUUCGCGGAAGGAUUUUUCUCCCCAGUAAAGCGGCAGACAAGCCAGAGGUCCGCCGCCCUACGCGCCGUCUGCCUCUGAGCCGCCGCCAGCUCACAUUCUUGAGCAGAAACGUUGCAGGGAGGCAGAAAGCGCCGAGUCUCAUGGAUCGUGCUGAGCGUUGCAUCCACCCAGGACUGCUUACCUUCAGACUUCUGCUCCGGUGGCAGAGCAGCAAACCCCUAUUGUGUAAGCCUUUGCAGAUGGCUGGUGCCACUUGCUGCUGAAAGUGACAGAUAAUCUUUCUAGGAAUAUAACCCCUAAAGCCCUUUAUGGUAACAGAUGCACUUAGAGAAUGUAGUUUUCUUUCUUUUUCUUACUUAAAAAAAAAAAAAGCUGAAGUCUGCCUCAGGCAAAAAGACAAACUGAAAACAUAUGUAUGCAUAAUUGAAGUGCAAUCAAUAUUCAUUAGAAAAUGAACGAAUGUUCUUCAGGUUACUUUAAUAGUUUUCUCAGGGAAUCUGUUUUUGGAUACGUAUGUCAGCUACAAUAUUUGGCACUUCCAGGAGCUCUGUGUUGAUGUCCUUCCUAGAAAUUGCACUUCUGCGCAUUUUUCUGCGCCUUUGGGGUCUCAGAUGUUCCUGGAAGGAAUCACUUUUCACUCUCCUGGCUUUUCCCUCGAACAGGUAACUUGUAACUUGCUGUUGCCUAGCAGCUGGCUAGGUAUCAAGCAUUUGUCCAAAAAUAUGUUCCUACAAUACCUUCCUGUCUCAGCCAUUCCAUUCACAAGACAGUUUAAACAUUUCUCCAUGCUAUUCCACAGAUCAUUCAUAGAGGAACCAUCUGAACCAUGCAACAAAGUCUAGAAACUUUUAUGACUUUUAACUUACAUGACAAGUUAUCAUGUACUUGGUACCCUCAGCCAGGUACAUGUUAAGCUCAGGUUUCAUGUAUGUUAGGGUGGAGCCAUAUUUCCUUGUGGAUAAACCUAUAGAUUUAUCCCCACCCCCGCUUCCCUUCCCAGAAGUAACUGUUGCCUUGACAACAGGGUAAGGACAGCAGUGAUGACGGCUGUGAUAACGAUUAUGAUAAUGAUGGCAGGAGAAACUGUAUGCUGGCCAUUAUCUAAGCACUUUACAUGCAUUAGCUCCUUUAACGCCCAAGGAGGCAUGUGACAGAAAUGCUAUUUUUAUCCCCGUGUUAGAGAUGAGGGCUGAGGAAAGACUGGUGAGGUGCCUUGCCCAAGGCCACACAACUGGUCCCCAGAGAAGCCAGGCUUCCUACCCAGGCAACCCAGGGGUCCCAUACACUGUCGCUGCCUGAUAGGUAGCAGUGGUGGUGGUACAUACUUCCUCUAAGUACAUGCGCAUCCAUAAUAAAGACGCAGUAGACUUAUUUGCAUAUUUUAAAAAGUGUAUGGUUUCAGAACAUUUGUUGUUUUUCCCUGUUAUGAAUCGUGUCACAGUAAACGUCUCGCAUGCAUCACCUCACGCGUGUGCUGCUCUAUGGCCAACAUUGAAAGGUCUCAUUUCUGGAGUUCCUGUCGUGGCUCAGAGGUUAAUGAACCUGACUAGCAUCCAUGAGGUUGCGGUUCGAUCCCUGGCCUCGAUCAGUGGGUUAAGGAUCUGGCGUUGCCGUGAGCUGUGGUGUAGGUCGCAGAUGUGGCUUGGGUCUGGUGUUACUGUGGCUGUGGUGUAGGCCGGGGGCUGCAGCUCCAAUUCGACCCCUAGCCUGGGAACCUCUACAUGCCGCGGGUUCGGCCUUAAAAAGACAAAAGACA
rnacentral:lncRNA from 1 species